rnacentral:rRNA from 1 species
CAAAUGAAUUGACGGGACCGCACAAGCGGUGGAUGAUGUGGAUUAAUUCGAUGCAACGCGAAAACCUUACCCACCUUUGACAUGUACGGAAUCCUUUAGAGAUAGAGGAGUGCUCGAAAGAGAGCCGUAACACAGGUGCUGCAUGGCUGUCGUCAGCUCGUGUCGUGAGAUGUUGGGUUAAGUCCCGCAACGAGCGCAACCCUUGUCAUUAGUUGCUACGAAAGGGCACUCUAAUGAGACUGCCGGUGACAAACCGGAGGAAGGUGGGGAUGACGUCAAGUCCUCAUGGCCCUUAUAGGUGGGGCUACACACGUCAUACAAUGGCUGGUACAAAGGGUUGCCAACCCGCGAGGGGGAGCCAAUCCCAUAAAGCCAGUCGUAGUCCGGAUCGCAGUCUGCAACUCGACUGCGUGAAGUCGGAAUCGCUAGUAAUCGUGGAUCAGCAUGUCACGGUGAAUACGUUCCCGGGUCUU